GAUCAUGGCUCAGGAUGAACGCUGGCGGCGUGCCUAACACAUGCAAGUCGAACGGAGUCGUUUUGGAAAAUCCUUCGGGAUUGGAAUUCUCGACUUAGUGGCGGACGGGUGAGUAACGCGUGAGCAAUCUGCCUUUAAGAGGGGGAUAGCAGUCGGAAACGGCUGCUAAUACCGCAUAAAGCAUCAAAUUCGCAUGAUUUUGAUGCCAAAGGAGCAAUCCGCUUUUAG
rnacentral:rRNA from 1 species